rnacentral:rRNA from 1 species
CCCCUUACGGGUUAGCCCACCGACUUCUAGUGCAACCGACUUUCGUGAUGUGACGGGCGGUGUGUACAAGGCCCGGGAACGUAUUCACCGCGGCGUGCUGAUCCGCGAUUACUAGCGAUUCCAGCUUCAUGCAGUCGAGUUGCAAACUGCAAUCCGAACUGAGAACGGUUUUUUGAGAUUAGCUCCACCUCGCGGUUUGAAAUCCUUGUGCCUCCAUUGUACACGUGUUAGCCCUGGCCCUGGACAUAAAGGCCAUGAUGACUUGACGUCAUCCCCACCUUCCUCCGGUUUAUCACCGGCAGUCUCCAUAGAGUUCUCGGCAUGACCCGUUAGUAACU